ACCUGAAAUCAAGCAAGAUCACCCGCUGAACUUAAGCAUAUCAGUAAGCGGAGGAAAAGAAACUAACAAGGAUUGCCUUAGUAGUGGCGAAUGAACCGGCAAUAGCUCAAAGUGUAAAUCUGAGGCAUCAAGUCUUAGAAUUGUAAUCUAAAGGCCUUUUAGGGAAGCCACGGUUCUAGCAUAAGUUCCCUGAAAAGGGAUGCCAAAGAGGGUAAAAGCCCCGUAUUUGGUUAGGACUGGGUGUACCGAAGGGUUCCAAGAGUCGGGUUGUUUGGGAUUGCAGCCUAAAAUGGGAGAUAAACUUCUUCUAAAGCUAAAUAUUUAUGGGAAACCGAUAGCAAACAAGUACUACGAAGGAAAGAUGAAAAGAACUUUGAAAAGAGGGUUAAAAGACUUGAAAUCGUUGAGGAGAAAAGCGGUAGAAGAGAAAUGAUUUCAUUCAGGAGUAUGUGGCUUUGUUGGUGUCUUCUGCGGUAAUGGUACUUCAUAGGGCCUAGCUGUAGACCGGCGUCGCAUUGUUACUUUUUCUGGGUGAAGUGCAAAAUGAGGUCUCGCUUGCGGAAACGUCUCUAGGGAGGACUCUGGCCUUGACGCUGGAAGCCCUGGUCUCCAA
rnacentral:rRNA from 2 species